UGAGUCCUAGUUUCGUGGCACUAUAGCCGGGUUCCGGCUGUAUCCGCUGCCAUCCUCCCCCAGGCACGGCCUCGGAGGACUUCCUGCUCCGCCUGGCGCUAGGAGAGCCCCACUCGGUGUGGCACGGAGCCGAAAGGAAAGAAGGCCAAGGGAAAGAAGGUGGCUCCGGCCCCUGCUGUCGUGAAGAAGCAGGAGGCUAAGAAAGUGGUGAAUCCCCUGUUUGAGAAAAGGCCUAAGAAUUUUGGCAUUGGACAGGACAUCCAGCCCAAAAGAGACCUCACCCGCUUUGUGAAAUGGCCCCGCUAUAUCAGGUUGCAGCGGCAGAGAGCCAUCCUCUAUAAGCGGCUGAAAGUGCCUCCUGCGAUUAACCAGUUCACCCAGGCCCUGGACCGCCAAACAGCUACUCAGCUGCUUAAGCUGGCCCACAAGUACAGACCAGAGACAAAGCAAGAGAAGAAGCAGAGACUGUUGGCCCGGGCCGAGAAGAAAGCUGCUGGCAAAGGGGACGUCCCCACGAAGAGACCACCUGUCCUUCGAGCAGGAGUUAACACCGUCACCACCUUGGUGGAGAACAAGAAAGCUCAGCUGGUGGUGAUUGCACACGACGUGGAUCCCAUCGAGCUGGUUGUCUUCUUGCCUGCCCUGUGUCGUAAAAUGGGGGUCCCUUACUGCAUUAUCAAGGGGAAGGCAAGACUGGGACGUCUAGUCCACAGGAAGACUUGCACCACUGUGGCCUUCACACAGGUGAACUCUGAAGACAAAGGCGCUUUGGCUAAGCUGGUGGAAGCUAUCAGGACCAAUUACAACGACAGAUAUGAUGAGAUCCGCCGUCACUGGGGCGGCAACAUCCUGGGUCCUAAGUCUGUGGCUCGUAUCGCCAAGCUCGAAAAGGCAAAGGCUAAAGAACUUGCCACUAAACUGGGUUAAAUGUAC
rnacentral:sRNA from 1 species